rnacentral:lncRNA from 1 species
AUGAUCACAGUCUACUGCUGCCUUUGAACUACCGCAUUUACUCUGCACAUGCUCAAUUUUACAAUUAAUCAAUCUGUGAAAAUCUUAAGUCAUUAGACAAUUUUAUCUGAAGAGUGUUGCACCAUGUAUGUGUAGCACGAAACAAAAUAGUUUUUCAAAUAUAUUUGAUUUGAUUUUCUUUGGGAUAACAUCUUGAUUAAACUUUCUCUCUUUGCUGCUAUUCAUUAUAAUACUAUUUUAUCAAUCUUAUUGACAAGACAUGCCUAGUAUGCUUGACAUUAUAACCCCAGAGUCCUUGGUUCAAGCACUUAUGAAGCACAUACUGAGCUCUCUUUGAGGGAGUAUUCCAUAAUGCACAGCAAGUUAUUCAGAUAUUAGUAUUCAAGCCUAUCACGUAUCCGCUUUUUGGGUGGAGAGAAACAAUGGGCAGUUUUUGCAACCUUACAAAAACAAUAACGAAUACGUUAAUUAUCAUUAUCGUCAUUCAUGCCUGAAACAUCCUUGACAAUAUGUUGUACAAAUUGAAUGUGAUGCAAAAAGUAUGAAUGUGAUGCAGAAGUCAUGAAUCGAUAUCUUACUAUAGGGGAAGGGUUGUCUAAAAAUUACGAAAACGUAUUGUUAUCCUUUUCGUAAGCUUGCGAAAACUAUCUAAUGAAUGCAUAAUAAAAUGCCUUGCCACGGGUCACAAACAAGUUGCUAGGUUCUGACUCAAAACCCUAAUUGUUUAUUUGAAGCCCAUACUACUACACCAUCUUCUCUCACAUGCAGUACUAUAUUUUUAUAUUAUACUUUUCUGAUCAAAAACAUUUUUAAUAGACAAGGGUAAACCAGUAAAUAUUAUUAUUUUUUUUUUUUUUUAGAAUGAAAGAUAUGUUGCUAGGCCAUGGUGGGAUCCAAGUCUUGAUAAUGGUCAACCUAGAUAUACUUAUGAUGAGGCAAACGACAAAUGGUCAACUUUUGGGAGUGAUGAACCUAAUACUGGACGGAGGUUUCUUUCUUCCCGAAGAAGUAAACGUAGCAAUACAAGAGCGUCUGGGUCAAAGUACAAGGAGAUGUGUGGCAUCAUGUAAUAAUUUCAACCUUGUUUUAGGUAGAUACUAGAGAGCUUUUGAUUGCACGACGACCAUAGGACGUAGAAUAUAAUGAGGUCACAUAAAGUCAUCUGCACAUGCAAGAAUCUUUAGUUCUCGCAGUUGCAUGGAUUCUAGGCUGGAUGAGUGAAUCCGUUAUAGCGUUGUGUCGUUGUGCAAAUCAAAAGCUACCUAAUACUGGAGUGCAUAAAAAGUAAUGUUAUAAUACUGAAUUUAAUUCAGAUUUAGAAACAACUUGGUUUAUGUUAUGUUUUGCAUGCUUCAAUUUAUACUUGAAAAUGAAAAAAAAUUCUUCUUUUGCAUUACAUCAAAUAUAUGUAUGAAAAAAUAUUCUAAAUCAAUUAUUUUUGGCUAGAAGCAUUUGGUGUCACAUAUGUUGACCUUUUAUUUUUUCCUACUGGUUUAAAGAUCUAUCCAGAUUAUCAGAUUUUCAAAAAACUUUUGUAUGUCUGUAUAUAGUCACGAUGUGCCUAAUUGUCAUUACGUGAUGUUCAAUAAUUUCCGUUGAGAUAUUUUCUUUGGAAAAUUAUUUAAAACAUGGAAAAGAGGACUGGUUUUGUUUAUUGGUGAAUGUAUAUCUUAUUGGAUCAUUUUAUUUUUGUUCAGGACUUUGAUUUUGACUUGUUUCCAAUUGGUUCAUUUAAUAUGAAGUACUGAACCUGUUCAAAAUUAAGAGCUGAAUGUGUACUGUAUUCCAUAAUUAUAAUUGAAGUACUGGGGUUUGUUUUUUUUUUUUUUUAUCUGAAAAUUUCCAAUUUUAUUAGAUUCACAUGGCAGUAUAUCGUUAUAGAGACUGAAUGUUUAUCCAAUUGGAUAAGUUUGUAUAAAGUAUUUUUAAACAUAAGGUGUUGAUUUUUGUUCACUAUUAAGGGAAUAAACACUUUUUUUGGAAUUGACAAUUUUUUUUAUAAAGUAUUGUUCAGAAAACUUGUACUCAAUGCAUGCUUAUAUACCUAUGUCAGUAUGGCUUAGUCGAUGAUGAAGAUAGUGUAUUAAAAUACUGUAAGUAAAACAGAAAAUUA